rnacentral:rRNA from 1 species
CUCGAGUGGCGAACGGGUGAGUAACACGUGGGUGAUCUGCCCUGCACUUUGGGAUAAGCCUGGGAAACUGGGUCUAAUACCGAAUACACCCUUUUGGUCGCAUGGCCGUUAGGGGAAAGCUUUUGCGGUGUGGGAUGGGCCCGCGGCCUAUCAGCUUGUUGGUGGGGUGAUGGCCUACCAAGGCGACGACGGGUAGCCGGCCUGAGAGGGUGACCGGCCACACUGGGACUGAGAUACGGCCCAGACUCCUACGGGAGGCAGCAGUGGGGAAUAUUGCACAAUGGGCGCAAGCCUGAUGCAGCGACGCCGCGUGAGGGAUGACGGCCUUCGGGUUGUAAACCUCUUUCGCUCACGACGAAGCGUAAGUGACGGUAGUGAGAGAAGAAGGACCGGCCAACUACGUGCCAGCAGCCGCGGUAAUACGUAGGGUCCGAGCGUUGUCCGGAAUUACUGGGCGUAAAGAGCUCGUAGGUGGUUUGUCGCGUCGUCCGUGAAAACUCACAGCUUAACUGUGGGCGUGCGGGCGAUACGGGCAGACUGGAGUACUGCAGGGGAGACUGGAAUUCCUGGUGUAGCGGUGGAAUGCGCAGAUAUCAGGAGGAACACCGGUGGCGAAGGCGGGUCUCUGGGCAGUAACUGACGCUGAGGAGCGAAAGCGUGGGGAGCGAACAGGAUUAGAUACCCUGGUAGUCCACGCCGUAAACGGUGGGUACUAGGUGUGGGUUCUUUCCUAAGGAUCCGUGCCGUAGCUAACGCAUUAAGUACCCCGCCUGGGGAGUACGGCCGCAAGGCUAAAACUCAAAGGAAUUGACGGGGGCCCGCACAAGCGGCGGAGCAUGUGGAUUAAUUCGAUGCAACGCGAAGAACCUUACCUGGGUUUGACAUGCACAGGACGC